CGGGGCUGCCCCGUGCCUCGGGGGCAGCGUGGCCUGAAGCUCCUGCAGGGCCGCGCUUAGUGGGAGGGAGGCAGGGACAGACGCCUCGUGAGAAGAGAGGCAGGCUGCAGGCACCCGAGGAGCGCUUAAAUGUGCAAACUCCAUCCUACUCCAUGCAGUUAGGGUGACCUGAGGUCCCGAUUUUACAGGGACACUCCCGAUCUUUGGGGCUUUUUCUUAUAUAGGUGCUAAUUACCCCCCACCCCCGUCCCGAUUUUUCACACUCGCUAUCUGGUCACCCUCCAAGCAGCGGCCCUUUGCAUCAAAAUGGAGCAUAUUGUAUUAGGGCCUACGAUAUCCAUUGACCACACCCUGUCUUUAAAGGUUAGAGUAGCGAGCCAACACAGCUCCCACCCUGCGAUGCACUAAAUGAUUACUCUCUGCUUACCGUUGGCAAUGUGUGUAGAGCCGUACACGAGAGAAAAUUCAAGCCAAGCCCAGCCCUAGACAGUUAACUCCUGCUUAGCUUUACACACCCUGACUACAGUUAAGCACAUGUGUAAGUCUUUGCAAGCUUGAGGCCUAAAAAACAGGACGUGCUGGGAGACCCAGAGGAAAGAAUCAUUUAAAGGGUUAUCAUCCUUAUUUGUCAUAAACUCCCAGUUUAUGAGAGCUGGAGAAGUGAACUUUUCUUUUUAAAAUGAUCCAAAGGGCCUUCGUUUGUAUCAAUAUAGGAAAUCUCACCCAGUGGUUCAGAUAAGUUAGUGAAGGAAGGAGAAUUAACAAAAUAGUGGUAGGUGUGUCCAACUAGGGGUGAGAUUUUUGCCUCAGUGUAUGGAGUGCUGGCAUGAGCUCCUGCUGAGCUGUCUUCGUCACUCUCUUCGAUAAUAGGAAAUGGGCCCCCCUGAUAAAGGAGCCUCAGGAAGGGCUCUGAGCAAAUGGACCAUUUUCUCUCAAUUGUACAGUAUAGCCUGGGAAAAGGAGCGCUACAGAAUUCAUCAGAGAGUUUGCAGGAAGCGGACCACUUGCAGAUGAUACUGUUCUAAUGGAAAAAUGGACUGACUUCAGAGCCUUGUGGACACCAUCACCCAACAGUAAGCUCCUGUGUUUUUGAGGCGAACCCUCUCUGGUGGCCUGCUCUUGGAUUUACUGCACUAAUCUUGAAAGUGAAAUGAAAAGUACUGAAAAGGCUUCAGAGUUGACCUACCUUUCCAAUUAUCAAUAUUCAAAGUUCUUCCUACUUAUCCCAUGUCUCUGCAUUGAGUGAAAAGAGUAACUUUAUUCAGGAUGAGAUUAAAAUCUAUACAUUUAUAAAAUAUUCAUUUUCCUCUAUUAGUCAGUAGAUAUAAAGCACAAUGUGAAAACACAAUAAUAGCCUUGCUUGAGGCAAACACACAUCACAUAUCCAUCAGCUAUCCUAACUUUUGGAAAUGAAUAGUC